UGCUAAAAAAAUCAUCCAUUCUUAUUAUUAAAAAUUGGUGUAACUGUUAGAAUAACCAGACAAUUACAUGUGAUGUACAACAUGUACCUUAUGCUGGUGUACAUAGAUCGAUUUUUAAUAGUAAAAAUGGAUGAAAUUUUUAACA
rfam:Gossypium hirsutum cultivar TM-1 chromosome 2, whole genome shotgun sequence